rnacentral:rRNA from 1 species
AGCUCCAAUAGCGUAUAUUAAAGUUGUUGCAGUUAAAAGCUCGUAGUUGGAUUUCUGGACGGGCAACGUUGCCCUCAAGCUGAGUGCGCAAGGCGGCCCGUCCAUCCUUCUGUUAACUAUUAAGGCUUUUGCGGUCUUCUUAGGGCUCAGAUAUUUUACCUUGAGAAAAUUAGAGUGUUUCAGGCAGGCUAGCGCCGGAAUACAUUAGCAUGGAAUAAUGGAAUAGGACUUUUGCCUCUUCUGUUGGUCUAAGGGGUUCGAGUAAUGAUUAAUAGGGAUAGUUGGGGCAUUAGUACUUAACUGUCAGAGGUGAAAUUCUCGGAUUUGUUAAAGACUAACUUAUGCGAAAGCAUUUGCCAAGGAUGUUUUCA